rnacentral:rRNA from 1 species
GAUGAACGCUGGCGGCGUGCUUAACACAUGCAAGUCGAACGGUGAAGGCGGAGCUUGCUCUGCUGGAUCAGUGGCGAACGGGUGAGUAACACGUGAGCAAUCUGCCCCUGACUCUGGGAUAAGCGCUGGAAACGGCGUCUAAUACUGGAUACGAGCUGCGAAGGCAUCUUCAGCAGCUGGAAGGAAUUUCGGUCAGGGAUGAGCUCGCGGCCUAUCAGCUUGUUGGUGAGGUAAUGGCUCACCAAGGCGUCGACGGGUAGCCGGCCUGGGAGGGUGACCGGCCACACUGGGACUGAGACACGGCCCAGACUCCUACGGGAGGCAGCAGUGGGGAAUAUUGCACAAUGGGCGAAAGCCUGAUGCAGCAACGCCGCGUGAGGGACGACGGCCUUCGGGUUGUAAACCUCUUUUAGCAGGGAAGAAGCGAAAGUGACGGUACCUGCAGAAAAAGCGCCGGCUAACUACGUG